GGGAGCCAGCGCCGCGCAGCCUGGGCGGCCGGAGUCGGAGCAGGGGAGACGGGUUCAAAAAAUAAUUAAAAAUCGAGGAAAUACCCCAGACAAGCCCUUUCGCCGUGAAAACCCUACAGAGGACCCAGGCUACCCGCAGCGGAGGUUUGGGGUGCCGGGAAGGUCUGGACCGCGACCCCUGGGGCUUUGGAUACCGAGGGGGAAACUUGCAGGGGUGAGCGCGGCGGCGGGAGUGUCCGGCCGCGGCCCACAAGGGCAGAGGCCGGGGACGGUGGCGAAGAGCUGGGGGACAGACGAGGACGGGGAGCCGCCGGAGAGAGGCGCGGGGGGCUCCAGCCUCUCCUUCGGGGGGGACCCGCUAUCCCCCCUGCACACACCUCCUCCCCCCUCCCACCCCACCCAGAUCUCCGCACCCAGGAAACUGAAGGCCGAAACGAGGACAUAUGACAAAACUGGCUCCUACAAGACUGAUGUUGAAAAUUCACCUUCCAGAAGAUGCCCAGGCAUCCGUGUAGACUGGACUUGGUCUCUACCCUCUCUGUCCUGGGCAGUCAGACCUGGUGCCUGCUGGUGACCUCAAGCCAGAAGAAGCCUCUCGCCAAGAUCACCAAGAAGGUGGCAUUUGUUUCUCCGUGCUGGCUAAGCUAGGAAAGCCUGGCUUCGAGAGGUUUUUUUGUAACAAGAAUUGAAACCUAAAGGAUUUUUUUUUUCAAAUUAUCCUUCAGCUGCCAGAAAUGGAGUUUGGAAGAACUUCUCCAAACUCUGUAGGCUUUGGCCAAUGGACCUUUUACUGUAACAAGUACAUCAGAAGCCAGAAAUAAAUUGGGGAAGAAGGUACACACUUUACCAAAAGGUUUCUUGCUGAGCUAGACACUCUCCCACGGUGCAUCUUUAAACUGAGAGCGUUUCGGACACAUUUUAAAUGGCUUCAUUCACUUGAAAGUGAGAGCUGCCUGUUGCAUUCAGAAAAUCUGGUGAAGUGUACUUGAUUUUGAAAUCCUCAAAAAUCAUAUCACGUUCAAGCUGAAAAGGGCAUUUGAGUCUUAUCUCCUCCGUUUAAAGGAGAUGACACAGCGACCUGGGGAAAUUAAGUGACUUGGUGGCACCUCAAGGCUUUGUCUGCGGCAGGCCAUCCAGUUUCCAGCUUUCUCCCGUUACUGGGGGCCUUCUUUGCAUCCCAACUACCCGACCGUCCCUGGUUAGGACUCUCUACCUCGCCCUCAGCUGCUGUCAUGGAUGCCUGAUCAUUGAUUCCCUUCUGGAUUUUUUUGGUAUUGCUUUUUCCCGUUUUUAUGGAAAAUUUUCAAACAUAAAGGUAAAGAAUAUAAUAUAAAUAACUCCCAUGUGCUCUCACCCAGCUUCUACAAUUAUUAACAUAUGGCCAAUCUUCAUUUAUCCAUACCUAGCCCCAGAUUCCCCUGCUGCACAGAUGAUUUUAAAGCAAAUCCAAAUAUCACGCAAUUUCAUCUGUAAACACUCCAAGUGUACCCAUGGAAGAACCCUCUCAUACAUACAUAUACAUCUACAAUACAGUGAUCACAACUAACAAAAAUGAACGAUAAUUCCUUAAUAUCCAAUUUCCCCGAUUGUCCGUCUGUCACUCUUUUGCAAUUGAUUUGUUAGAAUAAGGAUCCAGCGGAAGGUUGGGUUGCAGGUAUCAGGUAGCAUGAUUAGCUGCUCGUUCCAAGUUCUUACAUGAGGAUGUUUGCUGAAUGAGAGGGAAUAAAUUACAUAAGAAAAAUGCUUUAUGAUAAUUAUAGAUCACAGUUAUCUAUACCUUUAUACUUCCUAAGGUUCUUGGACCCAUGACCUUCAUGUCUGGAGAUGUUAUGGGAUCCAAUUAGUGGUCAAGCAGAGACCACCUGUUUCCUGAAAACAACAAAGCACCAUGAUAACCUCCAACUCCUUAAAAUUCUAGCCUCUCCUUUUAAAAGGAGAGGCUCAAGAGAUUCUCACCCUCUUCGAGACACUUUUUUUAGAGAAGCUCCUGUAACCUUCACAGGAACCCUGUGAAGUAGGUGCCUUCAUUCUCAUUCCACUGAGGAAUCCCAGGCACAGAGGGGCUGAGACAUUUCCUCAAGGUCACCCAGCACUAGCAUUUAAACUCAACUCUGUAGUAUAUUAAUAUAUUACACCACCUGUAAUAUACUAGUAUCGAUUACAAGGCAACUGUAAUUUUCAGUGUUGAAAAGUCACCUCGAUUAACUUUUAUCAUUUUUCCCUUUUAGAAUAUGUCUUUGCUUUAUGAAAUAAAAUGCCGUUUAAGGCAACUUCGACUCUUCA